rnacentral:rRNA from 1 species
GACGAACGCUGGCGGCGUGCUUAACACAUGCAAGUCGAACGAAGUGGCGAACGGGUGAGUAAGGCGUAAUCAACCUGCCCUUAAGAGGGGGACAACAGGUGGAAACGACUGCUAAAAACGCAUCCUGACGGAGGGGAGUGCGUCUGAUUAGCUAGUGUGAGGGGUAACGGCCCACCAAGGCAAUGAUCAGUAGCCGGUCUGAGGUGAUGAACGGCCACAUUGGGACUGAGACACGGCCCAGACUCCUACGGGAGGCAGCAGUGGGGAAUCUUCCGCAAUGGACGAAAGUCUGACGGAGCCACGCCGCGUGAGUGAUGACGGCCUUCGGGUUGUAAAGCUCUGUUAAUCGGGACGCGGUACCGGAAUAGAAAGCCACGGCUAACUACGUGCCAGCAGCCGCGGUAAUAC